rnacentral:lncRNA from 10 species
ACUCCUGUAAUCCCAGCACUUUGGGAGGCUGAGGUGGGAGGAUUGCUUGAGUGCAGCAGUCUGAGGCCAACCUGGACAACACAGUGAGAUCCUAUCUCUACAAAAAAAAAUUUAAAAAUUAGCCAGAUAUGGUGGUGCAUGCCUGUAGUCCUAGCUGCUUGGGAGGGUGAGGUCAUGGGGAAAAGGGGAUUGCUUGAGCCCAGGAGUUCAAGGUUACAGUGAGCUGUGAUUGCACCACUGCACUCCAGCCCUCGCUGACAGAGCAAAACCUUGUCUCUAAUAAAUAAAUAAGUUUUUUUAAAUAGGGAUAGCCAUGAUGGACUACGGUCAUUGCAAAAGCCGAAUGAAAUUGAUCUGUGAACAUGUUUUACACGUUCUGUUGCUGUCAGGCCUGGGGUGGUUUCAGCUCAGCAGAUGUUGGUUCCGCCUGACAACUUGACCUGUGGGGUUCUGAGUGUUCGCAAGAAUCUCCCCGCCCCACCUCCCAUCCUCUGUACCAUCUGCCUCCUGCUUGCCCACAGCAUGGGGUUAACGGCUGAAGUUGGGCAGCAAAGCCUGAACUGUGUUUUCCUGUUGGCAGGGCAAAUUCAUCCGCAUCAACUUCGACGUCACGGGUUACAUCGUGGGAGCCAACAUUGAGACCUAUCUGCUAGAAAAAUCACGGGCAAUUCGCCAAGCCAGAGACGAGAGGACAUUCCACAUCUUUUACUACAUGAUUGCUGGAGCCAAGGAGAAGAUGAGAAGUAAGUGACUAGCAAUGACAUGUGAUUGGAUGGCUUGAGCCUUCCCUUUCAUCAGAAUCCGGGGUUAAGGGAUUGGCUAUUAAAACAGUCUCAGAUCCUGCCAGAAAGGACCAUGUCUGUGAGUGACAUAUGAACAGUUCUUCAUCUCCUCCCAAUGAGUGAGUGUGGCUUGUGUUCAGUCAUUCUCAUUUACUGAGCACCUACUAUGUGACAUAGUAGCCAUCAACUCCAAUUAG